UGGGGAAUAUUGCACAAUGGAGGGAACUCUGAUGCAGCGACGCCGCGCGAGUGAUGAAGGAAUUCGUUUCGUAAAACUCUGUUCUAUGGGAAGAAAAGGACUGUACCAUAGGAGAAAGCUCCGGCUAAAUACGUGCCAGCAGCCGCGGUAAUACGUAUGGAGCGAGCGUUGUCCGGAAUUAUUGGGCGUAAAGGGUGCGCAGGCGGCUUUACAAGUUGGAUGGGAAAUAUUGUGGCUCAACCACAAACGUGCAUCCAAAACUGCAAAGCUUGAGUUAAGGAGAGGUAAGUGGAAUUCCUGGUGUAGCGGUGGAAUGCGUAGAUAUCAGGAGGAAUACCGGUGGCGAAGGCGACUUACUGGACUUAAACUGACGCUCAGGCACGAAAGCGUGGGGAGCAAACAGG
rnacentral:rRNA from 1 species